rnacentral:rRNA from 1 species
GAGUUUGAUCCUGGCUCAGAACGAACGCUGGCGGUAUGCUUAACACAUGCAAGUCGAACGCGAAUUCAUCUUCGGAUGAUAGUAGAGUGGCGCACGGGUGAGUAACGCGUAGAUAACCUACCCUUCAGCCUGGGAUAACGUCGAGAAAUUGGCGCUAAUACCGGAUAACAAUAGGAGCUUAGUGGCUUUUAUUUGAAAGAUUUAUCACUGAAGGAUGGGUCUGCGUACCAUUAGUUUGUUGGUGGGGUAACGGCCUACCAAGACUACGAUGGUUAGCGGGUCUGAGAGGAUGAUCCGCCACACUGGAACUGAGACACGGUCCAGACUCCUACGGGAGGCAGCAGUGGGAAUUUUGCGCAAUGGACGAAAGUCUGACGCAGCAAUACCGCGUGAGUGAAGAAGGCCCUUGGGUCGUAAAGCUCUUUGUUUAGGGGAAGAUAAUGACGUUACCCUAAGAAUAAGCACCGGCUAACUCCGUGCCAGCAGCCGCGGUAAUACGGAGGGUGCAAGCGUUGUUCGGAUUUACUGGGCGUAAAGGGCGCGUAGGCGGCUUUCCAAGCCAAGGGUGAAAUCCCGGAGCUCAACUCCGGAACUGCUCUUGGAACUGGGAGGCUAGAGACAUGCAGAGGCAGGUGGAAUUCCAGGUGUAGAGGUGAAAUUCGUAGAUAUCUGGAGGGACACCGGUGGCGAAGGCGGCCUGCUGGGCAUGUUCUGACGCUAAGGCGCGAAAGCGUGGGGAGCAAACGGGAUUAGAUACCCCGGUAGUCCACGCCGUAAACGAUGAUUACCAGCUGUCUGAGGAAUCGACCCCUCAAGUAGCGCAGCUAACGCGAUGAGUAAUCCGCCUGGGGAGUACGGCCGCAAGACUAAAACUCAAAGGAAUUGACGGGGGCCCGCACAAGCGGUGGAGCAUGUGGUUUAAUUCGACGCAACGCGAAGAACCUUACCUGGGUUUGACAUCCUUGGACCGGUAUAGAGAUAUACUUUUCACUUCGGUGACCAAGUGACAGGUGCUGCAUGGCUGUCGUCAGCUCGUGUCGUGAGAUGUUGGGUUAAGUCCCGCAACGAGCGCAACCCUUACCCUUAGUUACCAGCGGCUCGGCCGGGGACUCUAGGGGGACUGCCUGUGUUAAGCAGGAGGAAGGUGGGGAUGACGUCAAGUCCUCAUGGCCUUUAUAUCCAGGGCUACACACGUGCUACAAUGGCAACUACAAAGAGCAGCUAGCUCGCGAGAGUCGGCGAAUCUCAAAAAGGUUGUCUCAGUUCGGAUUACAGUCUGCAACUCGACUGUAUGAAGUUGGAAUCGCUAGUAAUCGUGGAUCAGCAUGCCACGGUGAAUACGUUCCCGGGCCUUGUACACACCGCCCGUCACACCAUGGGAGUUGACAUUGGCAGUAUACGUUGAGCUAACCUUCGGGGAGCAGGCGUAGAAGCUAGUCUCGAUGACUGGGGUGAAGUCGUAACAAGGUA